CUGGCUCAGGAUGAACGCUGGCGGCGUGCUUAACACAUGCAAGUCGAACGGUGAAGCCCCGCUUGCUGGGUGGAUUAGUGGCGAACGGGUGAGUAACACGUGAGCAACCUGCCCCUGACUCUGGGAUAAGCGCUGGAAACGGCGUCUAAUACUGGAUACGAGNNNNNAUCGCAUGGUCAACUUUUGGAAAGAUUUUUCGGUUGGGGAUGGGCUCGCGGCCUAUCAGCUUGUUGGUGAGGUAAUGGCUCACCAAGGCGUCGACGGGUAGCCGGCCUGAGAGGGUGACCGGCCACACUGGGACUGAGACACGGCCCAGACUCCUACGGGAGGCAGCAGUGGGGAAUAUUGCACAAUGGGCGCAAGCCUGAUGCAGCAACGCCGCGUGAGGGAUGACGGCCUUCGGGUUGUAAACCUCUUUUAGCAGGGAAGAAGCGAGAGUGACGGUACCUGCAGAAAAAGCACCGGCUAACUACGUGCCAGCAGCCGCGGUAAUACGUAGGGUGCAAGCGUUAUCCGGAAUUAUUGGGCGUAAAGAGCUCGUAGGCGGUUUGUCGCGUCUGCUGUGAAAUCUGGGGGCUCAACCCCCAGCCUGCAGUGGGUACGGGCAGACUAGAGUGCGGUAGGGGAGAUUGGAAUUCCUGGUGUAGCGGUGGAAUGCGCAGAUAUCAGGAGGAACACCGAUGGCGAAGGCAGAUCUCUGGGCCGUAACUGACGCUGAGGAGCGAAAGGGUGGGGAGCAAACAGGCUUAGAUACCCUGGUAGUCCACCCCGUAAACGUUGGGAACUAGUUGUGGGGUCCAUUCCACGGAUUCCGUGACGCAGCUAACGCAUUAAGUUCCCCGCCUGGGGAGUACGGCCGCAAGGCUAAAACUCAAAGGAAUUGACGGGGACCCGCACAAGCGGCGGAGCAUGCGGAUUAAUUCGAUGCAACGCGAAGAACCUUACCAAGGCUUGACAUAUACGAGAACGGGCCAGAAAUGGUCAACUCUUUGGACACUCGUAAACAGGUGGUGCAUGGUUGUCGUCAGCUCGUGUCGUGAGAUGUUGGGUUAAGUCCCGCAACGAGCGCAACCCUCGUUCUAUGUUGCCAGCACGUAAUGGUGGGAACUCAUGGGAUACUGCCGGGGUCAACUCGGAGGAAGGUGGGGAUGACGUCAAAUCAUCAUGCCCCUUAUGUCUUGGGCUUCACGCAUGCUACAAUGGCCGGUACAAUGGGCUGCAAUACCGUGAGGUGGAGCGAAUCCCAAAAAGCCGGUCCCAGUUCGGAUUGAGGUCUGCAACUCGACCUCAUGAAGUCGGAGUCGCUAGUAAUCGCAGAUCAGCAACGCUGCGGUGAAUACGUUCCCGGGUCUUGUACACACCGCCCGUCAAGUCAUGAAAGUCGGUAACACCUGAAGCCGGUGGCCUAACCCCUUGUGGGAGGGAGCUGUCGAAGGUGGGAUCGGUAAUUAGGACUAAGUCGUAACAAGGUAGCCGUACCGGAAGGUGCGGCUGGAUCAC
rnacentral:rRNA from 1 species